GACAGAGGGUGCAAACGUUGUUCGGAAUUACUGGGCGUAAAGCGCGUGUAGGCGGUCGUGCAAGUCGGGGGUGAAAGCCCAGGGCUCAACCCUGGAAGUGCAUUCGAUACUGCAUGGCUAGAGUCCCGGAGAGGAUGGUGGAACUCUCGGUGUAGAGGUGAAAUGCGUAGAUAUCGGAAGGAACACCGGUGGCGAAAGCGGCGCGCUGGACCCCUUCUGACGCUGAGGCGCGAAAGCGUGGGGAGCAAACAGG
rnacentral:rRNA from 1 species